GUGAAGCUGACGUGUGGACAGAGGACAGACACUGACCAAGCUGGAGACACACGGACAUGUUUAUAUUUGUCCGUUUUCUUAAGGCUCAAACUGAAGAAAAACAAACAAAAAAACACACCCGACAAGGAAAGAACUUAAGACGUAAGGAAAGAGGACGAGGAGGUGAGGACGACACCUCCGUGUGUGUGUGUGUCCUUUAUCACUGAGCUAACUUGACUGACAAGUUAGCAUGUUAGCCUGUGUCGUUUCUCACUGACACCGGAGCCUGACCUAAGCUAACAGGCUAACAUUAGCGUCCUGUCGUUACCGCAGUGACCGCGAGGACAUUAGCGGACACGUUAGCAUUAACGGACAUGGCUCACCUCCUCAGUUUGACUGAACUCCACAUAACGGAGCAGCAGCGCAGAGUCACGGCGGUCAUUUAAACGUGGAGCGGAAGAGUCCGCGGGAGAGUCCGAGGGUCAGAGAGGGCGGGCUCCGUGGAGGAAACUUAGCUUAGCUUAGCUUUAGUUUAGUUGCAAAUUGCAGUAGAGCUGGUUACACCGCUGCCCCGCCUACUCCGACGUCUGCUGCUCUGAUUGGCAUCAGUUUUGACAGCAGUUUGUUUAUUUUACAAACCAAUGAAAGCACGCGCUUAAGGACGCAGUCCCGCCUCUGUGCUCUCUGGGCGGAAAUCACUGUGCGGGGCAUCAGGGUGUCCAACUUUUCC